AUUGAACGCUGGCGGCAGGCCUAACACAUGCAAGUCGAACGAGUGGCGGACGGGUGAGUAAUGUCUGGGAAACUGCCCGAUGGAGGGGGAUAACUACUGGAAACGGUAGCUAAUACCGCAUAAAAUGGGAUGUGCCCAGAUGGGAUUAGCUAGUAGGUGGGGUAACGGCUCACCGAGGCGACGAUCCCUAGCUGGUCUGAGAGGAUGACCAGCCAAACUGGAACUGAGACCCGGUCCAGAUUCCUACGGGAGGAAGCAGUGGGGAAUAUUGCCCAAUGGGCGCAAGCCUGAUUGAGCCAUGCCGCGUGUAUGAAGAAGGCCUUCGGGUUGUAAAGUACUUUCGGCUAGGAAGCGUUACUCGCAGAAGAAGCACCGGCUAACUCCGUGCCAGCAGCCGCGGUAAUUC
rnacentral:rRNA from 1 species